rnacentral:misc_RNA from 1 species
CAGAGUUGCAAAACUCCCACAAACCAUCGCGAAUCUUACCCGUACGGUUGCCUCGGCGCUGGCGGUCCGGAAGGCCCUCGGGCCCCCCGGAUCCUCGGGUCUCCCGCUCGCGGGAGGCUGCCCGCCGGAGUGCCGAAACCAAACUCUUGAUAUUUUAUGUCUCUCUGAGUAAACUUUUAAAUAGGUCA